rnacentral:rRNA from 1 species
GGAUGAGGGGUGCUUGCACUCCUGAUUUAGCGGCGGACGGGUGAGUAAUGCCUAGGAAUCUGCCUGGUAGUGGGGGAUAACGUUCCGAAAGGAACGCUAAUACCGCAUACGUCCUACGGGAGAAAGCGGGGGAUCUUCGGACCUCGCGCUAUCAGAUGAGCCUAGGUCGGAUUAGCUAGUUGGUGAGGUAAUGGCUCACCAAGGCGACGAUCCGUAACUGGUCUGAGAGGAUGAUCAGUCACACUGGAACUGAGACACGGUCCAGACUCCUACGGGAGGCAGCAGUGGGGAAUAUUGGACAAUGGGCGAAAGCCUGAUCCAGCCAUGCCGCGUGUGUGAAGAAGGUCUUCGGAUUGUAAAGCACUUUAAGUUGGGAGGAAGGGUAUUCACCUAAUACGUGAGUAUUUUGACGUUACCGACAGAAUAAGCACCGGCUAACUUCGUGCCAGCAGCCGCGGUAAUACGAAGGGUGCAAGCGUUAAUCGGAAUUACUGGGCGUAAAGCGCGCGUAGGUGGUUCGUUAAGUUGGAUGUGAAAGCCCCGGGCUCAACCUGGGAACUGCAUCCAAAACUGGCGAGCUAGAGUACGGUAGAGGGUGGUGGAAUUUCCUGUGUAGCGGUGAAAUGCGUAGAUAUAGGAAGGAACACCAGUGGCGAAGGCGACCACCUGGACUGAUACUGACACUGAGGUGC